rnacentral:lncRNA from 1 species
GGCAAGCAACAUGAAUCUAAGAAAAAUUUAUUGAAAAUCUUUGUAAAAAGGGUUGUCAUCAAUUACCAAAAAGAGGGAGAUUGAAAGCCCUAGUUUGAUUUUAGAUAAUUGAUGAAACCCUAGUACUAACCUCCUUACUAAGUGUGUGUAGACUUAAUGAGGUUGGUACAUGCCAAGUGAUGGAGCAAGUGAUGAUCAUGGUGAUGAUGGUGAUCACCACAAGAUGAUCAAGUGCUCACCUUGGAAAAAAAAGAAAGAGAAAAACAAAACCCUAUGG